GGUAUACAGCUCUGUUAAACGAUAGCUACUUUGUGAUUACCAAAUGAACAGUUACGAUAAAACUCGCUUUGAUGUUUUGUCACACCUAACCGAUAUUCCAAUGCUUGGAAAACAAUAUGUUCCAGGUAUGGUUUACUAAAACACAAAUUAUUAACGGGCUAAAAAAAUUUCAAUUUGAUUUACAGGACUCUGGAAACAGUUUGAAGAUGGUCACGUGACAAGCAGACAUGAACAAUCGACUGAACAUCGGGUCGGACAAGAAUCAAUAAGUCAAAGAAAUAUUACCGAAACAUCGCCAAGCACUCAGAGAACGCGGAUGAACGCCACUUUGGAGAAUGAGAGAGGACUCACUCGAUCUACAGAAAAGG
rnacentral:sRNA from 1 species